GCCCCGCAAUCUGCACCCGCGGGCCCUAACGUCCCGGCGGGACUGAGCACCCAAGACGCCCCGGCAGGAAGGACUCGGAGGAGAAGGGCAGCCUCCCCUUUCGUGAGUAAGCAGCCCCUGUUCCUUUUGGCACUUGAACAUCUCUCCCUGGGCUUUCUGUGGGUUCCAAGCAUACAACUGGGUUCUUCGUGGGACUAGAAGCUAAACAGCAAUGUAUUCAACAGGUCUUGACAGUGCUUCCUGGUGAGUUGCAGACUCUGUUCUCUGAGGGGAGACCCCACGACCCCGACCUUCCUGGAGUCCGGUGUUAGACACGGGAAACCAAACACACCGUUCCCGUAGGGCUCUGGAGGAAGGGCAGGCAAACUCUCAUUCUCGGGUGAAGGUGGACCAGUGGAAAAAGCCACCAAGGGAGCACAACAGGCCUUCAGUUUCCCGCAGACCCCACGGAGCUCAGGUGCGGGGAACUGCGGCCUCGGGGUCUCUGCAGGUGCUGACAAUGAGGCCGGUAAGGAGCAAGGUGCGCAAGGCCGUUCCGCUGCCCUUUUAGUUUCAGAAUCACCCAGCGCACCCAGUUUCAAAUGAGACGGACAACGUGAUUCAUCUCUGUUCUGCAAAGCCUUAGAAAUUGCAGUUUUCCAGCAGAAUGGGCACAGUACAUUCCGGGGUGGGAGUUCCAAUUGCUUAUGGAAUCAACCAUAGCACACUGUCAAGUCUCUGUGGCGCAAUCGGUUAGCGCGUUCGGCUGUUAACCGAAAGGUUGGUGGUUCGAGCCCACCCAGGGACGGAGUGUGUGACUUUUAACUCAGUUCCGUGUCUUUCCUGCUGUUUAUCACCUGCACAUUUCCUCACAUGAAAUCUGUGACUUGAUUCUGGGUCCUGUCCGCUUCGUAUCAGCUAACUCUUAAUUAAGACCCACCGGCCCACCCCACCUCCCCAACCUGAUUCUCGUAAUAAAAGAGUAUCUGCUAACCUAUCAGCUUUAUACCCCUCAACCUGAACUCCUGACAGAAGAACCCAGGAUCUGGUGGGGUACAAUUUUUUAUUCGGCCCUUAAAAGAUUGGAUGAAUAACUUAGACUUUGGUGACUCA